UACGAAGGGUGCAAGCGUUACUCGGAAUUACUGGGCGUAAAGGGUGCGUAGGUGGUUGUUUAAGUCUGUUGUGAAAGCCCCGGGCUCAACCUGGGAAUGGCAAUGGAUACUGGACAGCUAGAGUGCGGUAGAGGGUAGUGGAAUUCCCGGUGUAGCAGUGAAAUGCGUAGAGAUCGGGAGGAACACCAGUGGCGAAGGCGGCUACCUGGACCAGCACUGACCCUGAAGCACGAAAGCGUGGGGAGCAAACAGG
rnacentral:rRNA from 1 species